rnacentral:rRNA from 1 species
UACGUAGGGUGCGAGCGUUAAUCGGAAUUAUUGGGCGUAAAGAGCUCGUAGGCGGUUUGUCGCGUCUGCUGUGAAAACCCGAGGCUCAACCUCGGGCCUGCAGUGGGUACGGGCAGACUAGAGUGCGGUAGGGGAGAUUGGAAUUCCUGGUGUAGCGGUGGAAUGCGCAGAUAUCAGGAGGAACACCAAUGGCGAAGGCAGAUCUCUGGGCCGUAACUGACGCUGAGGAGCGAAAGCAUGGGGAGCGAACAGG